GCUCUUUGGUGAUUCAUGAUAACUUAACGGAUCGCAUGGCCUUGCGCCGGCGACGGUUCAUUCAAAUUUCUGCCCUAUCAACUUUCGAUGGUAAGGUAUUGGCUUACCAUGGUUUCAACGGGUAACGGGGAAUUAGGGUUCGAUUCCGGAGAGGGAGCCUGAGAAACGGCUACCACAUCCAAGGAAGGCAGCAGGCGCGCAAAUUACCCAAUCCCGACACGGGGAGGUAGUGACAAUAAAUACUGAUACAGGGCUCUUUUGGGUCUUGUAAUCGGAACGAGUACAAUUUAAACCCCUUAACGAGGAACAAUUGGAGGGCAAGUCUGGUGCCAGCAGCCGCGGUAAUUCCAGCUCCAAUAGCGUAUAUUAAAGUUGUUGCAGUUAAAAAGCUCGUAGUUGAACCUUGGGCCUGGCUGGCCGGUCCGCCUCACCGCGUGUACUGGUCCGGCCGGGCCUUUCCUUCUGGAGAGCCCCAUGCCCUUCACUGGGCGUGCGGGGGAACCAGGACUUUUACUUUGAAAAAAUUAGAGUGUUCAAAGCAGGCCUUUGCUCGAAUACGUUAGCAUGGAAUAAUAGAAUAGGACGUGCGGUCCUAUUUUGUUGGUUUCUAGGACCGCCGUAAUGAUUAAUAGGGAUAGUCGGGGGCAUCAGUAUUCAAUUGUCAGAGGUGAAAUUCUUGGAUUUAUUGAAGACUAACUACUGCGAAAGCAUUUGCCAAGGAUGUUUUCAUUAAUCAGUGAACGAAAGUUAGGGGAUCGAAGACGAUCAGAUACCGUCGUAGUCUUAACCGUAAACUAUGCCGACUAGGGAUCGGGCGAUGUUUCUAUCUUGACUCGCUCGGCACCUUACGAGAAAUCAAAGUUUUUGGGUUCU
rnacentral:rRNA from 1 species